rnacentral:sRNA from 1 species
GUCACGUCUGGGCCGGGUGAUGUACUCCAUGGCAAACUGUCUGCUCCUGAUGAAGGAUUAUGUGCUCGCCGUGGAGGCGUAUCACUCGGUUAUCAAGUAUUACCCAGAGCAAGAGCCCCAGCUGCUCAGCGGCAUCGGCCGGAUUUCCCUGCAGAUUGGAGACAUAAAAACAGCUGAAAAGUAUUUCCAAGACGUUGAGAAAGUAACACACAAAUUAGAUGGACUACAGGGUAAAAUCAUGGUUUUAAUGAACAGGUAAAUAUUUUAAAACUAAAUAUAUGUUUUCUCAAAUUUCCCAGAGGUGUUUAAGCCCCACUUACUGAGUAGGAAAGCUCCCUAGAGAAAGCGCUUCUCUCUGUAUCUCCUCUUGCCUUCUGUCUCUUAGAACUGAGACCCAAGGAGUACACGUGUGUUUUCUUGAAUCGCAGUGAUGUUCUUUUAGUCACAGAAGCUGAUUUUUAAGGACAUAUUUCCCCCUUGUUCUUGAGAGAAGCCCUUGUAUUGCUCCCGUUUUCAGCCUAGGUGUGCGUAAAGGUCACCAUUGCUGGCAUAGCAGCCGUUC